GGAAUAUUGCGCAAUGGGCGAAAGCCUGACGCAGCAACGCCGCGUGAGGGAUGAAGGCCUUCGGGUUGUAAACCUCUUUCAGCAGGGAAGAAGGGAAACUGACGGUACCUGCAGAAGAAGCACCGGCUAACUACGUGCCAGCAGCCGCGGUAAUACGUAGGGUGCAAGCGUUGUCCGGAUUUAUUGGGCGUAAAGAGCUCGUAGGCGGUUAGUCACGUCGGAUGUGAAAACCCGGGGCUUAACUCCGGGCCUGCAUUCGAUACGGGCUGACUCGAGUGUUGCAGGGGAGACUGGAACUCCUGGUGUAGCGGUGAAAUGCGCAGAUAUCAGGAAGAACACCGGUGGCGAAGGCGGGUCUCUGGGCAACUACUGACGCUGAGGAGCGAAAGCGUGGGGAGCAAACAGGAUUAGAUACCCUGGUAGUCCACGCCGUAAACGGUGGGCGCUAGGUGUGGGGAACCUUCCACGUUCUCCGUGCCGCAGCUAACGCAUUAAGCGCCCCGCCUGGGGAGUACGGCCGCAAGGCUAAAACUCAAAUGAAUUGACGG
rnacentral:rRNA from 1 species